UACGGAGGGUGCGAGCGUUGUCCGCAAUCACUGGGCGUAAAGGGCGCGUAGGUGGCGCGGGCAGUCAACGGUGAAAGUUCGGGGCUCAACCCUGAAUCGGCCGUCGAUACUCCCGGGCUUGAGCACUGUAGAGGCUAAUGGAAUUCCGGGUGUAGCGGUGGAAUGCGUAGAGAUCCGGAAGAACACCGGUGGCGAAGGCGGUUAGCUGGGCAGUUGCUGACACUGAGGCGCGACAGCGUGGGGAGCAAACAGG
rnacentral:rRNA from 1 species